UACGUAGGGACCAAGCGUUGUUCGGAUUUACUGGGCGUAAAGGGCGCGUAGGCGGCAAUUCAAGUCAGCUGUGAAAUCUCCGGGCUCAACUCGGAACGGUCAGCUGAUACUGCUUUGCUAGAGUGCAGAAGGGGCAAUCGGAAUUCUUGGUGUAGCGGUGAAAUGCGUAGAUAUCGAGAGGAACACCUGAGGUGAAGACGGGUUGCUGGGCUGACACUGACGCUGAGGCGCGAAAGCUAGGGUAGCAAACGGG
rnacentral:rRNA from 1 species